GCAGCGGAGGGCGCGGUCGAAAGAUCGUGGCCCCGCACACUGCUCAGUAACACGUAGUCAACCUACCCUUGGGACGGGGACAACCUCGGGAAACUGAGGCUAAUCCCCGAUAGGUGGGGGACGCUGGAAUGCCUCCUCGCCCAAAGCUCCGGCGCCCAAGGAUGGGACUGCGGUCUAUCAGGCUGUUGGUGGUGUAACGGACCACCAAACCUACGACGGGUACGGGCGAUGGGAGUCGGAGCCCGGAGAUGGGGACUGAGACAAGGCCCCAGGCCCUACGGGGCGCAGCAGGCGCGAAAACUCCGCAAUGCGCGCAAGCGUGACGGGGGAAUCCCAAGUGCCGUUGGUCUUAUGAUCGACGGUUUUUAGGAAGUCUAAGAAGCUUCCAGAAUAAGGGCUGGGCAAGACUGGUGCCAGCCGCCGCGGUAACACCAGCAGCCCAAGUGGUGACCACGAUUAUUGGGCCUAAAGCGCUCGUAGCCGGAUCAGCAAGUCCCUUGUGAAAUCGGGCCGCCUAACGGUUCGGCGUGCAAGGGAUACUGUUGGUCUUGAGGCCGGGAGAGGUCGGAGGUACUCCUGGGGUAGCGGUGAAAUGCUCUAAUCCUAGGGGGACCACCAGUGGCGAAGGCGUCCAACCAGAACGGACCUGACGGUGAGGGGCGAAGGCUAGGGGAGCGAACGGGAUUAGAUACCCCGGUAGUCCUAGCUGUAAAGCAUGCGGGCCAGGUGUCUAGCGCUCCUUGA
rnacentral:rRNA from 1 species